GUUCUUCAGCAGCCGCUCGGCGAUGUCCUUCUUUUCGGCCAGCCAGCUGUUUGCGGAUUUCAGCCCAAGGAGACUCACGCAGGAAGCCCUUGAGCUCCAACAUACGAGAAAGUGCCAACGCAAUGAGGCGGAAGAGAUGUCCUAGCCUCAGCAUCAAGCACAGUCCGCACUCCUCAUAAGCCAUCUCCAGCCCAUCCCUGGGAACUCUCUGCAGCUUCAGAUCCUACGCUGCUCCUCCCCACCACCCUCCAACAACCAACUGUGUCGUCUUGUUUUGGUAAAACAUAAAACUGAUAACU
rnacentral:lncRNA from 1 species